CUUUAUCGUCUCGAGAGAGAAGAAAACGCAAGCAUUUUUUCCGUUGAAACUAACAGAUUUAAGGAUUUUUCUCUUGAUUCAAAAUCGAUGGCUAAGAAAAGGAGUAACAUUGUUGACAGAAGUCCUCCCGGUCGGAAUUUGCAUCAGUCGAAGAAGAGAGGAUGGGGUAGUUGGUUAUCCUAGGCAUAAGCUCAACCCUGUUUUAUGUUAUGUUAUUUAGUCCAUUUUAAGUUGCAGGUUUUUGUUAGUUAAUUUUCAGAUUUUGGAACUAAGUAGCAGGUUUGGUUUGAACAAUUCUCAGUUUUGGUUUGAACAAUUCUAAGUUUUGGUUUUGCAAGUGAAUAGAAAUUGCAGUUUUUCCUUA